CCUACGGGAGGCAGCAGUGGGGAAUAUUGCACAAUGGGCGAAAGCCUGAUGCAGCAACGCAGCGUGAGCGAUGAAGGCCUUCGGGUCUUAAAGCUCUGUCCUCAAGGAAGAUAAUGACGGUACUUGAGGAGGAAGCCCCGUCUAACUACGUGAAGGCAGGCGCGGUACUAUGUAGGGAGCUAGCGUUAUCCGGAAUUACUGGGCGUAAAGGGUGCGUAGGUGGUUUCUUAGGUCAGAGGUGAAAGGCUACGGUUCAACCGUAGAAAGCCUUUGAAACUGGGAAACUUGAGUGCAGUAGAGGGGGGUGGAAUUCGUGGUGUAGCGGUGAAAUGCGUAGAUAUUACGAGGAACUCCAGUUGCGAAGGCAGCUCUCUAGACUGUCACUGACACUGAGGCACGAAAGUGUGGGGAGCAAACAGGAUUAGAUACCCCGGUAGUC
rnacentral:rRNA from 1 species